rnacentral:rRNA from 1 species
GACGAACGCUGGCGGCGUGCUUAACACAUGCAAGUCGAACGGAAAGGCCCUGCUUUUGUGGGGUGCUCGAGUGGCGAACGGGUGAGUAACACGUGAGUAACCUGCCCUUGACUUUGGGAUAACUUCAGGAAACUGGGGCUAAUACCGGAUAGGAGCUCCUGCUGCAUGGUGGGGGUUGGAAAGUUUCGGCGGUUGGGGAUGGACUCGCGGCUUAUCAGCUUGUUGGUGGGGUAGUGGCUUACAAGGCUUUGACGGGUAGCCGGCCUGAGAGGGUGACCGGCCACAUUGGGACUGAGAUACGGCCCAGACUCCUACGGGAGGCAGCAGUGGGGAAUAUUGCACAAUGGGCGGAAGCCUGAUGCAGCAACGCCGCGUGCGGGAUGACGGCCUUCGGGUUAUAAACCGCUUUCGCCUGUGACGAAGCGUGAGUGACGGUAAUGGGUAAAGAAGCACCGGCUAACUACGUG